GCCAACAUAGCUCAGCUGGUAGAGCAACGCAUUCGUAAUGCGUAGGUCCGGGGUUCGAGUCCCCGUGUUGGCUCCA
rnacentral:tRNA from 1 species